CGGUUAACACCCUUUGGCCUUCGGGCCUUGCACUCGAAUCCUGGAGAGGGAGAGAGUACAAAACAUAACAUAAAAGGCUACCUUCGGCCAAUCUAGUACUAGUAGGUUAACGAGCGAGAAAUCUUUCCUUCCGCAGUUGUUCCCAGGCUCUGACAAGACCUGCAUUGAAACAAAACUGGCCUUGACUAAAGUAGGUCUAAUGCUUACCCUUUCCUCGGAAAUUUCUCCCCCUAAAUAGAAUAAAUAAUAGAAUGAG
rnacentral:misc_RNA from 1 species